rnacentral:rRNA from 1 species
GGAACUAGUGGCCAGCGGCGGGGGGAAUACGGAGGUGACGGGGGGUGUCCGGAGUUACUGGGCGUAAAGGGGGCGCAGGCGGCCUGUGCAGGUGUCGGGUGAAAGCGCCCGGGUUAACUGGGAGGGGUCCAGGCAAACGGCCAGGCUUGAGCGUCGGAGAGGGGCAUGGAAUUCCGGGUGGAGCGGUGAAAUGCGUAGAGAUCCGGAGGAACACCAAUGGCGAAGGCAGUGCCCUGGCCGACGGCUGACGCUCAGGCGCGAAAGCGUGGGGAGCAAACAGGAUUAGAUACCCGGGUAGUC